rnacentral:rRNA from 1 species
UACGUAGGGUGCAAGCGUUAAUCGGAAUUACUGGGCGUAAAGCGUGCGCAGGCGGCUUUGCAAGUUAGAGGUGAAAGCCCGGGGCUCAACUCCGGAAUUGCCUUUAAGACUGCAUCGCUAGAAUUGUGGAGAGGUAAGUGGAAUUCCGAGUGUAGAGGUGAAAUUCGUAGAUAUUCGGAAGAACACCAGUGGCGAAGGCGACUUACUGGACACAUAUUGACGCUGAGGUGCGAAAGCGUGGGGAGCAAACAGG